UGGGGAAUUUUGGACAAUGGGCGAAAGCCUGAUUCAGCAAUGCCGCGUGUGUGAAGAAGGCCUUCGGGUUGUAAAGCACUUUUGUCCGGAAAGAAAUCCUUGGCUCUAAUACAGUCGGGGGAUGACGGUACCGGAAGAAUAAGCACCGGCUAACUACGUGCCAGCAGCCGCGGUAAUACGUAGGGUGCAAGCGUUAAUCGGAAUUACUGGGCGUAAAGCGUGCGCAGGCGGUUUGCUAAGACCGAUGUGAAAUCCCCGGGCUCAACCUGGGAACUGCAUUGGUGACUGGCAGGCUAGAGUAUGGCAGAGGGGGGUAGAAUUCCACGUGUAGCAGUGAAAUGCGUAGAGAUGUGGAGGAAUACCGAUGGCGAAGGCAGCCCCCUGGGCCAAUACUGACGCUCAUGCACGAAAGCGUGGGGAGCAAACAGGAUUAGAUACCCUGGUAGUCCACGCCCUAAACGAUGUCAACUAGUUGUUGGGGAUUCAUUUCCUUAGUAACGUAGCUAACGCGUGAAGUUGACCGCCUGGGGGAGUACGGUCGCAAGAUUAAAACUCAAAGGAAUUGACGGGGUCAUAGCUGUUUCC
rnacentral:rRNA from 1 species